GAUGACUGCCGAAGACAGCAGGUGCCGUAAGGCAUAAGGAGAAAACGCCUGCCGAGGAGUAUAAGAUUCUAAGGAAGAAUUUGACUACCCCUCUGUGCGCAGAGGGGUUUUUAU
rnacentral:sRNA from 1 species